UGGAACGAUGGUCUGGACUUGGUAUAUGGCAGUUUCCUAUGAAACAGUUCACUCCUAUGCAAAGUUAAGCACAUCUAAACUCAUUGUUUUCAAUGAGCUUUGGCAUGUCUAACUGCCUAGGGCUGUAAAGGUUCCUGAUCUCAAAUGAUCUCAGCACUGGACUAACUAGCUUGCUUUAAACCUGUUUGAAGAGAAUAUCCAUGGCAACCUGUGUGAUGUCAUAAGUCUUUGUGCUGGAAACACCAAAGGAGGGCCUUGCCAAGUACACAGGCAACUGAAACAGGCUGACUCCUCCAAAAGCAAGGCAAGGACCAGGAAUGGCACUGGCACACACAAAAGCUCCAAGCCUCCAUGCCUUCAACUAAGUUAUACUCCCAGUUCUGUCAAGCAACUGAGGAGUGGGCGGAAGAGAGAGGAAAAUGGAAGAUACCAAGAUGAGAGUAGGGGAAACGGAAAAGGCUUCUUCUAAGAAGAUAUCUAAUUAAUUUGGAGAGAUUUAAUCUCAACCCCUUUAAGAAGUGGCAGCGAGCUUGUAAAUCCUGCCAUCCGAUGAGCUGUGCUGUUGCAGUGUGUCAACUCAAUGUGUGGAAGGGAAAACAGAUGUGCUAAGUGGAGGGUAUGCACAAGAGUCAGAGCCCUUUCUGCUAUGAUGCCCAAACAAUGGAAUAGUUUCCCCAAAGAGGUACACCUAGCCCUGCCUGCCUCUUCUUGACGGACAGUGUGCU